UGCUUUACACAUGCAAGUCGAACGGGCUUGAGGGGCUUGCUCCUCAGGUUAGUGGCGAACGGGUGAGUAACAUAUCGGAACAUAUCCGGAAGUGGGGGAUAACGUACCGAAAGGUACGCUAAUACCGCAUAUGCCCUGAGGGGGAAAGGGGGGGAUCGCAAGACCUCUCGCUUUCGGAGUGGCCGAUAUCGGAUUAGCUAGUUGGUGAGGUAAAGGCUCACCAAGGCGACGAUCCGUAGCUGGUCUGAGAGGACGACCAGCCACACUGGAACUGAGACACGGUCCAGACUCCUACGGGAGGCAGCAGUGGGGAAUUUUGGACAAUGGGCGCAAGCCUGAUCCAGCCAUACCGCGUGAGUGAAGAAGGCCUUCGGGUUGUAAAGCUA
rnacentral:rRNA from 1 species